AGAAAAACAUUUCCAUGCCUCUUCCUCUAAAAGAAGCUUCUGGGUUGAUAGUAAUUGACUCUUUUUAGUUCACUUUUACCAGGAAAAUCCCUGAUUGGUUAGAAGUAGCCCUGGUUAUAAAGUGCCUCUGCUAGUGCUGCACAUUAGGCCUGCACUCUGAUUCUCUCUGCUUUGCUGCUCAAGGCUUUCUCCAAGGCAGAAGAGGCUGAUCAACCCAUAUGCAGGUCCAACUCAGAAGUACAGAAAAGAUGAUGCCACUGGAAACAACCCUCAACCAGUGGUGUAGAAGGUUGGUUUUAUCUGUCACUCUCCUGUUAAAAACCUACAAUUAGCCUGAGCAAUUUAUCAAGUCCAAAUUCCUCUGCCCGACCUCAGAUACAUUUUCUUCACAGAAUUCUCCAACCUUGGACAUCACCAAAGGCAAGGGAAGCAAGGGCAAAAGUGAACUAUUGGG